AUGAACGCUGGCGGCGUGCCUAAUACAUGCACGUCGAGCGAACAGACGAGGAGCUUGCUCCUCUGACGUUAGCGGCGGACGGGUGAGUAACACGUGGAUAACCUACCUAUAAGACUGGGAUAACUUCGGGAAACCGGAGCUAAUACCGGAUAAUAUAUUGAACCGCAUGGUUCAAUAGUGAAAGACGGUUUUGCUGUCACUUAUAGAUGGAUCCGCGCCGCAUUAGCUAGUUGGUAAGGUAACGGCUUACCAAGGCAACGAUGCGUAGCCGACCUGAGAGGGUGAUCGGCCACACUGGAACUGAGACACGGUCCAGACUCCUACGGGAGGCAGCAGUAGGGAAUCUUCCGCAAUGGGCGAAAGCUUGACGGAGCAACGCCGCGUGAGUGACGAAGGUCUUCGGAUCGUAAAACUCUGUUAUUAGGGAAGAACAAAUGUGUAAGUAACUAUGCACGUCUUGACGGUACCUAAUCAGAAAGCCACGGCUAACUACGUG
rnacentral:rRNA from 1 species